rnacentral:lncRNA from 1 species
UUCUUCCGGGGUUUCCUUGAUUCUUCCAUUGCUAUACUUGUUAAAUCAUAUUGAAGAUCAAAGAAGAAAGAAAGUACCGAUGAUACUCCUCUCAUGCAUCAAUUUUAGGUCGUCUUUUCUCAUUACUAACAGCUUCUUGAUGACCUCCCCCCUUGUGCAACUUCACUCCACCGGUGUUCUUCUGAAGUUCAGUGAGCAUCAAGUUAUCAUCAAAUUACCUUGUCAACAGCUGCUCUUGAAAAGACCAACAAAUGACUAGUAGUCAUAAAACUAAUUCAACACGCAUAAUGGGAAGUGCAUCAAUGAACCCACUUUGAAAAACACAUUUCUAAAUGCUAAAAAAAACUGAAAAAGGUUGCACGGUUACGUCUUCAUGUUUUAUGUGCAUGCAUAAAGUUUCACGGAAAAAAACUUUUUUGUGGCCUAUGAAAAAAGACAAAAAAUUUGUGUCAUAAAAUGCUUUUUAGAAGCACUGAAAUUUGUCUUUUUUAAGGAGACAAAACGAAAAGACAUUUUUUCACAAAACUUUGUGCCGCGCACACACAUUUGCGAACAUGUAUGCGUGAAAUUUUCUUUUGAAUUUUUUGACAUUUUAAAAACAUGUUUAAAAUGCAUUUUUCAAAAAGUGGGUGCACAUGCCUAUGGAUUCAGGGCGUGCCGACAUGCGGUAUGUUCAUGCAUGUUCAUAGUAUGUAGUCAUAAAACAUUUUCUCUUGAAGUUAUGCAGCCCAAUACGAAACGAAUGCUACUUUUAGAACCUUCUGAGAUAGUGAUAGGUGUUGGUUAACAUUGGCUUUCUGAUUAUGAGUGUUUGGUUUAAGAGAUAAAUCUGGCAGUGCUGGUUAACAUUAACUUUCUGGUUAUAAGAAUGUUCUGAUGACUAACACUACCCUUGCGUAUCAGCAGGUCUUUCUGAUUAGUAUCAUUCUUCCGGGUACUUCCUUGAUUCUUCCAUUGCUAUACUUGUUAAAGCACAUUGAAGAUCGAAGAAGAAAGAAAGUACCGAUGAUACUCCUCUUAUCUCAUGCAUCAAUUUUAUGUCGUCUUUUUUCAUCACUAACAGCUUCUUGAUGAUCUCCUCCCUUCCGCAACUUCACUCCCUCCACCGGUGUUCUUCUGAAGUUCAGUGAGCAUCAAGUUAAUCACCAAAUUACCUUGUCAACAGUUAGUACUUUCUAAAACAACACAUAACUACUAGUCAGAAAACUACUUCAACACGCAUGAUGCAGUAUGCAUUUUCUCUGAAGUUAUGCAACCCAAUACGAAACGAAUGCUACUACUUUUAGAACCUUUUUUCUUUGACGUCUGAAGUAUCCUCUACCGGUCCCCGUCCUUGCGAUUAGUUGCCCAAUCAAUCCACCAGCUUAUCCCCAUCAGAAACUCCAGAGUCCUCAGAGAUCUGCAUGUGCAAAGCAUCAUCAUUCCACCUCGCGACACCAGACCGGACAACAAGACUUCUCGGUUGCCUUUAACAAAUACAGCUAACUGCUGAAAGUUACUGUCCAACGUUUUUAUAUGGCUCCUCGACAGAAAGACUUCUCGGUUGCCUUUAUCAAAUGUAACAACUGGUACAGAAAAAAAUUACUGACCAACCUUGCGAUUGCGAGGGACGUUGUCAGUGUCAUGCCAUAAAGAUACGGGCCAUGCCGGAGAGAUACCGGCUAAUGUGGACGCGGGAUCGAGUUAGCAUCAACGUAGCAUUGUCGUGGAGGCAGGCCUGAUAAAUUCCAUUUUGUUUCUGGCACUCAUGCCAACCACUCUGUACUUUGGGUAUUUGGCAGCGCCAGACUUGCACGUCGCCACCUGAUCCUGAUGUUGCCCUUUUCUCGCCUUCUUUCUUUCUUUCCCCUGCCUUCUAGACCUGUAUGAGGUAUCAUUCAGGAUGCCCUAGCCCCUAGGUGCCUGUUGCGGCCAAAAAUGAUCAAAAGUAGGAACCCUUUUUUCCAUGGCUGCAUGCAUCUCUACUAUCAUCAUCAACAUCAGUGCGAUGUAUGAUGGGUCAUCAAUCCAGUAGAUGAAAUGGCAGACCACAGUGAUCAACCAUCCCAGGGAAGUGCAAGAAAAAGUGAUUUAUUUGUCUCUUACCGCUACGAGAUACGAGUGGACGGCUCCGGCUUAUCUUGAAGGCGUUGAUGUGGAAGAAGAUUGACUCAGUCGUAGGUGUUAAAUUUACAUCUUGAUGUUUUUGGC